rnacentral:lncRNA from 1 species
GCUUCUCUGUUCCAACAAUGACAUGUGAAAUGCUGCCACCACCCAGAACUGGAAACAAGGGGAACAAGGCCAGACAGGCCAUGGGACCCACCCUUUGGAGGGUUCACAGCCAGGGAAUCUGCUACAAAUUCCAAAAUAUGCUGAGUACAGUCAACUGCCUCGCACAGCUGUUUACACAUAGACCUCCACGAUUUUAUUUGGAUAAGAGGUAUUUCACUGAAAAACUGCCUUUUUCUGCAAAGCUGUUGAUAUAGCUCACUCCUUCACUGGCAGCAGGAAGUCAUGGGCAAUGAUGCAUUUUAAAGUUCACAAUUUUGGGUCUUUCAAUGAACCAUAAAAUAUUCACGGCAUAUAAAAGAGCCCAGUCAGAUAAAAUCAAACAAGCACAGAGGACACAUAAGCAAUACUUCAGAAUGGAAGAACUUUACGACACCUGGCAGUGUAUGUGCCUGUACCUGUUUCCUCUGGAUUGGGGGUGUGGGGCUGGUAGGGCAAUACCGGUAUCACUGGUUUUGCCUGGGAAGAGUAGAACUAAGCCGUAAAGUGGUGCUCCUGCUAUGUUAGCCCAAAGCAUGUUAUUACCUGCAAGUGUGUCACAGGCAGGUGGAUAGAUAGAAGCAACGUCAGUGUUCACAUGCAAAAUACUUCCACUGUGUUCCUGUUCCCAGCUUUUGGAAACACUCACACUUCGUGUGUAGCUGGCUGGGAGAUUCUGAGGUUUGUUGUUCAAAAAAUUCAAAUCUCCAAGCAUUGAUCCCACAACCACCAUUGGAACUGGAUUCAGCUAUAGGUCAGUCCCUGUACAUGAAAUGGAAGAAAAGAGUGUCCUCCUGCUCUUUCCUGUAGCCAGUAAAAGUCCUCUGCCAGAACUGCAGACAACACUUAGGAACAUAGACAUACGAUAGGCAUCCAGCAUCCAGUCACCUGUCCAAACAACACACACACACACACACACACACACACACACACAGAGAGAGAGAGAGAGUCGCUCUUUUCUCCUCACAUCAGAGAGAGAGAGAGAGAGAGAGAGAUCUACGGAAGUGCAUCUCAAAGCCUCUUGUUCUUGGAGAGAAAAUGAUAAAUAAACUGUCUCUCUUUUCUCCUCA